rnacentral:rRNA from 1 species
UACGGGGGGGGCAAGCGUUGUUCGGAAUUACUGGGCGUAAAGGGCUCGUAGGCGGCCAACUAAGUCAGACGUGAAAUCCCUCGGCUUAACCGGGGAACUGCGUCUGAUACUGGAUGGCUAGAGUUUGGGAGAGGGAUGCGGAAUUCCAGGUGUAGCGGUGAAAUGCGUAGAUAUCUGGAGGAACACCGGUGGCGAAGGCGGCAUCCUGGACCAACACUGACGCUGAGGAGCGAAAGCCAGGGGAGCAAACAGG